rnacentral:lncRNA from 1 species
GAGGGAGAAAGAUUCUAGUAGUCAUGUGAUGAAAAAGUCUAUGCUCCACAGAUAAAUCCUUAGCAUGAAUUUUCUCAAAAUAUAUUGCAUCAUCCCUUCCAAAUAAAAAUCUCAAUCCAAUUACUCUAUCAUCUAAUUUUUCUCCUUCUUCAGUGAGUGCAUGAAGCAGAACACCUAAUUUUUUCUGUGUCAAAUUAAUUUUAACCCUCUUAACCUCUAUUUUAAAAAAUCUUGGACUGACAAUGACAUUUAUAUAAAAUUUUCUUACAAGUUUUGGAU